GAAGUCAACAGCGCCUGUAAACAAAGCCGUAAGGGUGAUCGACUGCCGUGUGGGUAAAUGGAGUUUAUUGCCGUAGGCGAACGUUCAGUAUACCGGCGAGAGCUCACCUGGCCAGGCGAACACGCUGUGCCCGUUGCACGGUUUAUCAGUAACACGCUGACAGACGGCGGCGAGUCUGAAACAACGAGGCUGCUUAAGCAAAAUAUCGUUUUACUACGAGUCGACAAAUAGUUCUCGAUAAAACGAAUCAUUGCUUCGAUAGCGGAUAACAACGAUUUUCUGAAUGAUCGCGAAAGUGAAAUAAAUUGUGUGACUCUCGAGUGAAGUGACAUGUUACCAGUGAAAGUUUAGAAAGAACAAUUUAUUGCACAGUGUUUACCGAGACGUGGUUUCGUUUACAAAAGAAUCGGUCGGAACAAGACAUUGAAAAGUGCGAGUAUAAGAAGGGGAAUGGAAAAUUUGAUGCAAUUUGAGAGUAAAUAGGAAGAUAGAUAUCCGAGGAAGAAGGCACAUGACGCAGUAAAACCGAGGGAACGAUAGUUUUAUGAAAAUCAUGAAAGAGUUUGAACGAAGUUUAAGAAAAGAGCAGACGUUCAGUUACAGACGUACAUUAAUUUUUCGAAAAGGUUCCAAUAUCAGCACACACUUCAAACUCACCUCAAAAUCGAGUUAAUUUCCAUUCAUCGGGCGAAAAUAACCAUGUUAAUUAAACGAAGCUUACUAUCAAGAUGACCUCGACGAAACCAAUCAUCGCGUUCUCGUGGUUGUUACGAUCCUACAAGAGACGCAGAUUUAAGUCAGAAUGGCUGGCUUUCGUGUUUGCCUGCCUUUUAGCGACUUGUUCGGCCAGGAACAAUCCACCGCGUUUCCUGAUCGACGGCCAGACGGAAAUUGUCAUUAGGUUAAAGGAAGGUCCCGAUACGCCAGUUGGCAGUUUAAUUUACAGGCUUCGCGGCGUCGAUCCUGACGGUGACAGCCUGACUUUCGGCGUUAGGGAUCAACCUGGCAGUGGUGUGAUUCGGGUCGAGAAUUUUAGUCCAACCGAAGCCAAUAUUUACUUGAACAAAUUACUGGACAGAGAGGUAAGGGACGAGUAUGCGUUAGUGUUGACUCUGACAGACGGAAGACUCGGUGAAGGAAAUUUCAUCACGCAAAGUUUACUGCUUCUGGUGGAAGAUGUUAAUGACAACGUGCCAAUCUUCCGUCCACAUCCCACUUCCUUGACGCUUCGUGAAGACUCGGGGCCAGGUAUUUUAACAACGGUCGAAGCCACCGAUGCGGAUUUAGGAGCACAUGGUCAGGUGGUUUACUACCUCCAAGAACUUGACGGUGAUAAUGACGUGUUCAGCGUUUCCACUGUCAAUGGAAAGGGUGUCAUCCGCCUUGUAGGCCGUCUGGAUUACGAAAAAAAAUAUCUAUACCAGUUGAGAAUUCUGGCAAUCGAUCGAGCAAUAAACGAAAAGGUAAACACGGGAACAACCGCGAUACUCGUCAAGGUUCAGGACGUCGAGGAUCAACCUCCAGAAUUCAUAACCAUAACACCUGUUGCCAGGAUCAGUGAAAAUGCAAGAAUAGGCACAUCCGUUCUUCAAGUUCGCGCAGUGGACGGUGACAAAGGAAUAAAUAAUAAAGUAACAUACAGCAUCACGCAAGGUCCGAGGUAUUUAUUCGACAUAGACACGACUUCCGGUUUGGUGUUCACCAGGGCGCAACUCGAUCGUGAGGCAGAGGAAAAUGCCGAGGGCACUUUUAUCUUGGAAAUUACCGUGAGAGAAGUAUCGAAUAUUGUGCCUGCACCGUCUGUUUCGACCGAAGUCACUAUUAUUCUAACGGACGUGAACGAUGAGACUCCAAAGUUCAGAAGCGCGAGAUAUCGUGCCGAGAUAAACGAAAAUGCACCGCAUAAUACGCCGGUUAAUUUCAUCGGGGAUGCAAUUCCGGAAGUUUACGAUCAUGACUUGGGAACUAAUGGUACGUUUAAAAUGUUUAUUGACGGCGAUGACGGAAUAUUCGACGUGACUCCGUCGAGAGGGAUUAACGAAGCUCCAUUUCUUAUACGCGUCAAAAACUCCAGCAAACUAGAUUUUGAAAGUAGAUCAGAGGUAAAUUUCACGUUAAUCGCAAAGGAAGUGGUAACAGUGGCACCGAAGCAGAGUAAAGUGCCGGUAGUCGUUUUCAUAAAAGACCAGAACGAUAAUUAUCCAGAGUUCACGGAGGACAUGUAUGAGGUAUCGAUUCCGGAAAAUUGCGCCGUCGGCACUACGGUGGCAUGGGUUCAAGCCUUGGACGAAGAUAGCGGGAAUUUUGGAACACGUGGAAUUAGAUACACCAAUUUAGGAGGCAGUAUUGCUCAUGUGUUAUCGAUGGAUCCUCUAACAGGACUAAUCACGGUUAAAGAACCGGGACCAAGCUUCGAUCGAGAACUAGUAUCUCGACAUUAUUUAACCGUUGAGGCGAGAGAUGAUCUUGGCAAAGGUAAUCGCAAUACUGUCCAAUUGGUCGUCAAUGUGAAGGAUGUUAACGACAAUGCUCCUAUAUUUCUACAAAACAAAUACGAAGCAGUGCUUCUGGAGAACGAAGAUCAUUUCCAAUCGCCUUUAAUCGUCGAAGCGUUUGACAUCGAUUUGAAUGGUACGAAGAACAGCGAAGUGACGUAUGCCUUGGUAUCGGGAGAAUUUUCACGGAAUUUUAGUAUCGAUUCAAAGCGCGGCAUAAUUAUCCCCACGAUGCCCUUGGAUUAUGAAGCCUUGCCUAUUAGUCAAGGACACAAGGAAACAUCAGUACGUCCAUUGAGAUUGACGGUACGGGCUAGGGAUAUGGGUACUCCAAGUUUGAGCUCAGAUGCGCCAUUAAUUAUUUAUCUAAAGGACAUCAAUGACAAUCCACCUGCAUUUGAGAGAACGUUGUACAUGAAAAGCAUCCCUGAAGACCUGCCUGGAGGUACCAGUGUAGUACAGGUCAAAGCUUGGGAUAAGGAUUUAUCUUCACCCAACAAUAAAUUAGUUUAUCGAAUUCAAAGCGGCGCAGGUGAUAAAUUUGUGAUUAGUCCAGAAAAAGGUGUAAUUAGAGUUGCACCGGGUUCCAAUUUAGAUCCAGAUUUGACUUCACCGAAGACUACAAGAUACAGCUUGAACGUUAUAGCGAUCGAUAGUGGAACGGAAAUCCAAAGAACGGCCGAAGUUCUGGUCAAUAUCACUAUCGUAGACGUUAACAAUAAACCACCCGUCUUUAUCGAUCCGGGUACGGUGACCAUCCGUGAAAAUACACAAGUUGGAGCGUACGUGCAUCGUGUUGUGGCUAAUGAUCCAGACAUAGCGCCGAUAUUACGUUAUCGUAUCGAUCCAAAUUCUUCGGAGGCAAGAAACGAGGAAGGAACGCUAAUUAAGAUCCAAGAAUAUGAUUAUUUGUCCGCUUUGGAAUUAAAUGCACUCGAUGGAUUGCUUCGCGUGGUUAAAUUGCUAGACAGAGAAAGAGUGGAAACGAUAAGAUUGGGGUUAGUUGUUGAAGAUUUAGCUGCAAUCAGAGGAAUACAGACUGCAUCCGCUACGUUGAACAUAAUAAUCGAAGAUGAAAACGAUAAUAACCCAAGAUUUCGCAGACCAUUUUAUAGACGAUCUGUAACAGAGAACAGUAAAAAUGGCGUAAAUAUUGCGAGCAUUGUUGCUGAUGAUGCAGAUAAGAAUCGUAGUAUUACGUAUUCGUUAGAAAGUCCUAAAGAACUGGCAGAUUUAAUUCAUCUUGAUUCUGAAACAGGUGAAAUGGUCGUGGCGAAUAAAAUCGAUCGAGAACAAUAUUCCUGGCUUAAUCUAACUGUACGUGCCACUGACUCAGGAAUUCCACCUAGAUCGAGUUUAUCUGAGGUAUACGUUCAAGUACUGGACGAAAAUGACAAUAACCCGUACUUUGUAACUGAUAUCAGUAAUUUGACUGUGAUGGAGAAUGCUAAGAUCGGUACAGAAGUUGCUACCAUUCAAGCUAGAGAUCCUGAUAGCGGAGAUUAUGGAAAAAUUACAUAUUUAUUAGAUAGAAUGUCGUCCCAGGGUACAUUUGCCAUUCAUCCUGAGUCUGGCGUCUUAACAGUAGCUGAUUCGAUUGACUGGGAAGAUAAACAAAAUUACGUUCUAGUCAUAGAGGCUUGGGAUAACUAUCAGUUUGGUUAUACAGCUGGGGAAUCCAGAAAUGCGUUUAAGCAGAUUAAGGUCACUGUAACAGAUGUCAACGACAAUCCACCAAAAAUGGACAUACCUCCAACAUGUGUUACCAUAUCAGAAUUCCAUGACGUGAAAGAUUUAGUUUUUACCAUUAAGGUAAAGGAUGCAGAUGAUCCAACAACUCCAAAUGGUCGUAUGAAAAUUAGAAUUCUUUCUGGAAAUGAAUUAGGUUUAUUCAUCCUAGAACAAGCGGAUUAUUGGACGGCGAAUAUAAAAGCGGCACAUUCACUUCGAGGAAAAUUCGGAAAUUAUUCGUUACAUCUGGAAGCCCGAGAUCUUGGUAGUCCUUCCAAUAAAGACAUUUCCGUUUUAAAUAUUUGUGUGACGGAUUACAACGACAAUCCGCCAGUCUUUAUUAGUCCACAGCAUAAUACAACUAUUCGAGUAGCAGAGAAUGUGACAGUGGGGACAUCGAUCAUACAAAUUGAAGCCAAAGAUGCCGAUACUGGUCCAAAUGGCGACGUUCAUUAUCGUUUGAAGCAAGACUUGGCUGGUCAUUGGAGAACAUUUCACAUCGACGAUACCACUGGCAUUAUCUCACUAAAACUCCCGUUAGACAGAGAAACGCAGAAAUUGUACGAGAUCAGAGUAGAAGCAUACGAUCUAGGAACUCCAACUCCUCUCAGCACGGAUCUAGAUCUGAUUAUUUACGUGCGAAACAUCAAUGAUUACGAGCCUCAAUUUUUGGUAGACAUAUUCAAGAUUGACUUCACGGAAGAGCAACCUCCUGGCUCUGAAACUGUACAAUUACCAGAAACUGUUGAUAGGGACGAAGUUGAUGAUCUUGACGAUCCUCCUACUCAAGUGUGUUAUUUUAUAAUCAGCGGCAAUGAUGAUGGACUCUUUAUCCUCGAUAUCUUUAGACACGAAUUGACUACUGCGAAAACGUUGGACAGAGAACAGCAAGAGGAACAUUUGUUAAUUGUGAAAGCGACAGAAGAUUGUAAUACUGUUCCAGCGAACGGAACACUUUCCGACGAAGCAGACGAUACUACAUUGAAAGUUGUUAUAAAUGUAAUGGACAUAAACGAUAAUCCACCCAAGUUUGUUAGUAAGAUAUUCACAGGUGGAGUUACUACAGAAGCUGAUUUUGCCACGCAAUUUAUGCAAGUCAAGGCGAUUGACUUGGAUGCAGGUGAUAAUGCUAUAGUUAAUUAUUACCAAGUUGGUAAAAUUCACAUGACUUUGACAGAAGGUUUGGAUGAUAUUGAGCUGCAACCUUUUCUAGUUAAUAAACUCACCGGGGUAGUGAGUUUAAAUUUCGACCCUCAGAGAGGGAUGAAAGGAUAUUUUGAUUUUAUGGUGUUAGCCAAUGAUACCCAUGGUUUAGAAGAUACUGCAAGAGUAUUUAUUUAUUUACUAAGAGAAGAUCAGAGAGUCCGUUUCGUGUUGCGGCAACAUCCACCGGAAGUCCGGAACAGAAUAGAGACGUUUAGAGAGACACUGGGAAACGUGACUGGAGCGAUAGUUAACAUUGAUGAGUACAAAAUCCACGAGAAUCACGACGGUUCUGUCGAUCGAACGAAGACCGAUUUGUACAUGCAUCUUGUAAAUCGUCGAGACAAUUCCAUUCUUGAAGUGUCGGAAGUCCUGGAAUUAGUCGACAGAAAUAUAGAGAAACUCGAUGGUCUGUUUAAGGAAUUCAAUGUUCUCGACACGCAACCGGCUCAAUAUCAACCGAUUGUUCAGUACGAGCAAGCAGGAACCACGUUUUGGCUUUUGACUUUGACCUUGUUCCUAGGGGCUCUGCUAAUUCUGUGCAUAGCCUUGUGCAUUUCGCAAAGAGCCUCUUUCCGCAGGCAAUUGAAAGCCGCAAAUGCAUCACCGUUUGGAACAUCAGAUGCAGAAUUUAUAAGAGGACCUGGUCGUGUACCGAAUACAAACAAGCAUAGUGUAGAAGGUUCUAAUCCUAUAUGGAUGCACGCUUAUGAGAAUGAGUGGUUUAAAAGUGACGAGUCUCUUAGUCACACAUCUGAGAGGGAUUCUCUCGAUGAAAAUGCAUUGAACAACGAAGAAAUAAUGAACGAAGCUAAUACAAACCAAAGAACCGAUGAUAAACCGUACUAUAUCGAGCCAAGAGCGUCUUCCAUUUCAAGCGCGGGAAGUGUGGCAAAUAUACCAAAUGACUUUCAUCGAAGUUCUCCAAUAUAUCGAACGCAAAACAAUAUCGUUAAUCCUCUUGGUAAAAAGAUAGAAACGACGGAACUGUAAUUGAACAACGACGAUAAUACGAUGGAGAAAAAUUCUUAUUUGCGCGGUAGUAUUUAUAAUUUCGUAAGAAGUGCAAAUUUAGAAUAAUUCUUGUAAAUAGUCACACUUCGUAUAAGCGUUAGUAUAUAUUUAAUAUUUAUUUCAUAGUAUUUUUAAAAAUUGACAGUGACAAAUAUUUUGUAUUAUCGAAUUCAUAUUUUCAUUAUUCGUAUUUUGUCUUGUAUCCGUAUUAAUAGUAAAUUACUAUUAUAGAUAUAAGCGAUUAUAGUUUGGAAGAAUCUCACUUCCAAGUCCCUGAGAAGCUCUGGUUAAUAAGAAAAACAAAUUUAACCAUGAUCUCUGCACAUCGAUGUAAUUGGGCUCUGCUACAUUCGCAUUAUCAAAGUGAAAUAUACAUACAUGCAUAAUAUGUACAUUAUACGUAAGUUCGUAAUACAUAAAUUCUACUGUUAUACAAUUUCCUGUUAUUAUGCUAUUCAGGAAAGCAUGCAAAUCAUUUCUUUUCAAAAUAAAGUUACUUUAUGUUACGUAUGCUACAAUACUAACAACAGUGGUGGAGAAAUGACAUACUUCUUAUAUAAUUGACUAUUUCUUUUAAUGUGUAAAAUAUAUCACUUUAAUAAUCGUAUUACUGAAACAUUCACGAAACAUUAUUUCAGCAUGUUCCAAUGUUAGUAUCAUUAAUCACUGGUCCAUGCUCUUUACAUAUUAGGUUACUCUAUGAAUAUCAAAUGCAGCUUUUGUGAAAGAUAAACUUAAAACAAUUGAAUUAAUUAUUAUACGAAUUAUAGAAAUGCGAAUAAAACAGUUACUGGAAGAUGUCAAAGAAUUAUGAAAAACGACUAAAGGA